UCCAGUAUGGUGUAACGGCUAACAUUGUCGCCUUUCAAGUUCGCGACGGCUCAGGGUUCGAUUCCCUGUACUGGAG
rnacentral:tRNA from 1 species